AAUCCAGUUGAUCCCGCUGGAGAUUGCGGCUAUUUGGUUUGACUUAGGCAUGCAAGUCUUACUUUUCUUCGGAGAGGUAGGCGAACUGCUCAGUAACACGUAGUUAAUCUGCCCUAACGCGGGCAAUAAGGUCGGGAAACUGACUCUAAAGGCCCAUAGAAGAUUAAUACUGGAAUGUUUUUUCUUUAAAAGUUUGUGUUAGGAUGAGACUGCGGUGGAUUAGGUUGUUGGCGGGGUAAUGGCCCACCAAGCUGAUGAUCCAUAAGGGCUUUUAGCGAAGUGGCCCUGAGAGGGAGUCUGAGACACUACUCCCAGCCCUACGGGGUGCAGCAGCUGAGGAUAUUCUGCAAUACACGAAAGUGUGACAGAGCGAGCCAGAGUGCUUUUCCAUAUUGGAAAAGCUUUUAUGAGAUGCAAAAAGUCUCAGGAAUAAGGACCGGGCAAGACUGGUGCCAGCCGCCGCGGUAAUACCAGCGGUCCAAGUCGCAAUCAUCUUUAUUGGGUCUAAAACAUCCGUAGCUUGUUUUGUAAGUCUCUUGUGAAAUCCGGUCUCUUAAGGGCCGAAGUGCAAGAGAUACUGCAUUGCUAGAGACCGGGAGAGGUAAGGAGUACGGUCAGGGUACCGGUUAAAUGGGUUGAUCCUGUCUGGACUAACAAUAGCGAAGGCACCUUACUAGAACGGAUCUGACAGUGAGGGAUGAAGGCUAGGGGCGCAAAACGGAUUAGAUACCCGUGUAGUCCUAGCAGUAAACACUGCACACUAAACAUCGGGGCCUCUUAGAGAGGUUUCGGUGCUGUAGCGAAGGCGUAGAGUGUGCUACCUGGGAAGUAUAGUCGCAAGGCCGAAACUUAAAGGAAUAGGCGGGGGAGUACUACAACGAGUGACGCGUGCGGUUGGACAUCAACAAUUAGCUGCACGACAGCCGAAGUUUGAAUCGCUUCGGAGUCUUAACAUAAACAUCUAUAGCAGAAGCAUUAAAUAAUCGUAAGCUUCCGCUAUAUAGUAAACGCAUAAAAGUAUACGAAGAUUAAAUGCGUUUACUAUAUUAGUGUUAAGGGAAAAAAUCUGGCUAUAUGCGGGAAAGUCUUGUUAGGUUUGCAGUAGGAUAUUAUCUGGAAAAUUGAAAAUUUUCCAGCCAUUCAACUUUCACAAGAUUGAAUGUUUUCGCGAGAAGAUAACGAACCCUAAAAAUCUGCAAAAUAGAGAUAAUCCGCAGGAAAGACUGGAAUUAGUUAUUACUUUUAAAAAGUAAUGAAAUAGUAAGGUUUAUAUAAGAUAUUUUUUUCCUUAUUUAGCGAUGUGGAAUAUAGAUUCACAAAUAGAUCACGCUAAUAAAGGUAAUAGAGAAUACAUCGAAUGUGCAGGUAUGAGAUUAAUAGAAAAUAGAAAGAAUUUUCUUGAUUCUCAAAACAAAAUAUUUUAGAGACUUUAUAACAAUAAAUAAUUCCAGAAUCCUCAGAGACUAAUACGCCAGACACAAUUUAAUAAAUACAAAAACAUAAAAACUCUAAAUUGUUGUGAUGAAUAUGGAAACAAUAACUAUCGAUAGAAAAAUUAUAGUUGAAUUAGCUAAAUUAGCUAGUGAAUUAGAAGACAGGAUAGAGUCUUUAGAAUUAGCAAGUGAUCCUGAAUUUAUGGAAUCUUUAAAAAGAUCUGAAGAGCAAAUUAAAAAGAGGGAUUUUGCCAAUUGGAAUGAGCUACAAGAUUCUUCCAACUAAAGAGUUUGAAAGAGAUUUCAAAAAAUUAAAGGAUAACUUUCAAAAAGAAUUAUUAAUAAAUUAAAUGAAGUUGUUGAAAAUCCUGAAAGAUACAAGCAUCUACAUCCACCAUUGAAUAAAUUUUCCAGAGUUAGAAUUGGAAAGUUAAGAAUUAUUUUUAGGUAUGAUGUUGAGAAAAAAGAAUUGUAUCUUGAAAAAAUAGUUUUUGGACAUAAAUAUUAAUUGUGAAGAUAGAGUCCGAUCCUUGCAGAGAUGUAAGGGAGUUAGUAGAAAUAUUAACUCAUCUACAUUAUCUAGGAAUUAUAGUUUUCUUGACUCCUAGAACUUCUUUUUCUAAAAGAAGUUGUAGAAACAUUAAUGUCAAUCAGAUUCCACACCGUGAACCUCACCAGAGCCGACAGCAGGAUGAAGGUCAGUCUGAAGGGCUUACCUGACACGCUGAGAGGAGAUGCAUGGCCGACGUCAGCCUGUGUUGUGAGAUGACCUGUUAAAUCAGGUAACAGGCGAGACCCGUAUGUAUAUUUACUAAGUGUACAAUAUACAGACUGCCUUGGUAACAAGGAGGAAGGUGCGGGCUACGUUAGGUAGUAUGUCCCGAACGCUCUGGGCUACACGCGCGCGGCAAUGCCACAUUCAAAGGGUCGCGACACCGAGAGGUGAAGCCAAUCUCAUAAACUGUGGCCUAGUUCAGAUUGAGGGUUGCAACUCACCCUCAUGACGCUGGAAUUCGUAGUAAUCGGGUGUUAUCAACGCCCGGUGAAUAUGUCAAUGCUCCUUGCACUCACCGCCCAUCAAACUAACCGAGUUUUGCAUUGGCGAGGUCCGUCAGGAACGAACCUUUGUAAGACAAGGUAAGUUAAGUUGUCACAAGGUAUCCGUAGGGGAACCUGCGGAUGGAUCACCUCCU
rnacentral:rRNA from 1 species